rnacentral:lncRNA from 1 species
CAAACAUGCAAACCACAGCAGUCCCAUUGCAAGUGCCGUCACAGUGCGGGUAGGGGUUCAGCAAAUGGAUGGUGGGGCACAACUCAGGCCACAUCAACCACGGUGUGCAUGGAACAAGGAGAGAAAGCAGAGUGACAGGGAACUCAUUACCUCUCCCGGGUAACGGACAUCCCAACUUUGCACACAUCUGUCCUUCUCCGGGGAGCCACCCUUUGGUCCCAAAUCUGCCUUGGAAGACCCCACAGAAGGCAAGCCUUCACCCAGGCAGGACCCCUGUAGGUGGAGGAAGCGGCCACUGAGGCGGGACAGUGCCUGCACUGGAGAGGAG